UGAAUGCUCAUGGGGACAGGGCUUCCUUUCUGGAAAAGAAGAUGCUCUAAGAUUAUAUUAUGGUGAUGGUCGUGCAACCCUGUGAAGAUACUAACACUUCUAAGCUAUGCCCUUUAUGUGGGUGGAUCUUAUGGUGCAUCCUAAUUCCAGAGUGUGGGCAAAUGCCCAAAUCACUGAGUGGGUAGGACAACCCGAACUCCUUUGUCCAAUGGCAAAAACGCAGAUUUGCAAGUGUGGGUGAUGACUGAGGGUUGGAGAGUGUGCCAGGCCCUCCACAGGGCUGAGCACUGCCCCUGCAGAGGUGGUGCAGGUGGUCUCUAUUAGCACAGAGAUCUCACAACCUCCUUGGACUCAGAGACAAGCAGAGCCAGACUCAACCAAGGAUGACCGUCAUGAGUCUGAGUUCUCCCUGCACUUGACCUUCUGCAGCUAUUUCUUGAACAAAGUCCAGAGGACACCAGAGCACAAUGGAGAGCCAACAACACUGAGGGCAGCCUCUCAGAUCUGAAACCCAGCAUGGACAGCGGGGGUUAAGUGACAUCCUUUCCCUCAUUACAGACAUCCUAGCUCCUUUCCUUGCCUGCCCAGGCAGAGUGGUCCACACAGCCGACCCCACGGUGGCAAUGCUGGUCCCAGGGACCUGUCCACAGCUUCCCAGCUGCUACCUGGCUGCUUUCUCCCUUCCUGACCAGUUGUGUCAGGCCCUCCCUUCCUCUUUCCUCUGAAUUCUGGGUAUCUCUCCUGUUCCUUCUGGCCACGCAGCGGGUGUCUGGGCUCAGAGGCAGGACUGGCUAUGUAACUGGCAGGGCCUACUGCAAAAUGGAAACAGGAGUUCCUCGGAUGGA